UACGAAGGGUGCAAGCGUUACUCGGAAUUACUGGGCGUAAAGCGUGCGUAGGUGGUUUGUUAAGUCUGAUGUGAAAGCCCUGGGCUCAACCUGGGAAUUGCAUUGGAUACUGGCAGGCUAGAGUGCGGUAGAGGAUGGCGGAAUUCCCGGUGUAGCAGUGAAAUGCGUAGAGAUCGGGAGGAACAUCUGUGGCGAAGGCGACUACCUGGCCUGUUUCUUGACGCUGAGGCGCGAAAGCUAGGGGAGCAAACGGG
rnacentral:rRNA from 1 species